AGCGUCAGUAUUGUUACGUAAUCUGAAUUUUCGAGAAACUCUCCAUAUGCCUAUAAAUAUAACCAACGCGACGCGACAAAAAAUAGUAUCUAUUAUUGGUUUGCUACAAUUGGUAUGCUAUAAACGUCGGAAAUUGAUAUCAUGCUU